CCGAAUGUUACUCUUUAUUGAGUACCUUCCACCCUUUGUUAAGUCAUAAAAGUUGCUUCGGCAGACCACUUUCGAGUCGUUGACUUUUUACAGUGAACGAGUGUUUGCCGAAGAAUCAUUAUACUCUAUGUUUUAAACAGUCUAAUUGUCUAAAAUUAACAAAUAA
rnacentral:misc_RNA from 1 species